ACAUGCGGCCAUAGGGUGUGGAAAACAGGGCUUCCCGUCCGCUCAGCCGUACUUAAGCCACACGCCGCCUGGUUAGUAGUUGGGUGGGUGACUACCAGCGAAUCCCAGGUGCUGCAUGUU
rfam:Rasamsonia emersonii CBS 393.64 ctg1118621760318, whole genome shotgun sequence.